GCGUGAACGAUGAAGGCCUUCGGGUUGUAAAGUUCUUUUGUGGGUGACGAUAAUGACGGUAACCCAAGAAAAAGCCCCGGCUAACUCCGUGCCAGCAGCCGCGGUAAUACGGAGGGGGCGAGCGUUGUUCGGAAUCACUGGGCGUAAAGCGUGCGUAGGCGGCUUUGUAAGUCAGAAGUGAAAGCCCAGGGCUCAACCCUGGAAUUGCUUUUGAGACUGCAAGGCUAGAGACCCGCAGAGGUUGGCGGAAUUCCGAGUGUAGAGGUGAAAUUCGC
rnacentral:rRNA from 1 species